rnacentral:rRNA from 1 species
GAUGAACGCUGGCGGCGUGCCUAAUACAUGCAAGUCGAGCGAACGGACGAGAAGCUUGCUUCUCUGGUGCUAGCGGCGGACGGGUGAGUAACACGUGGAUAACCUACCUAUAAGACUGGGAUAACUUCGGGAAACCGGAGCUAAUACCGGAUGAUAUUUUGAACCGCAUGGUUCAAAAGUGAAAGACGGUCUUGCUGUCACUUAUAGAUGGAUCCGCGCUGCAUUAGCUAGUUGGUAAGGUAACGGCUUACCAAGGCAACGAUGCAUAGCCGACCUGAGAGGGUGAUCGGCCACACUGGAACUGAGACACGGUCCAGACUCCUACGGGAGGCAGCAGUAGGGAAUCUUCCGCAAUGGGCGAAAGCCUGACGGAGCAACGCCGCGUGAGUGAUGAAGGUCUUCGGAUCGUAAAACUCUGUUAUUAGGGAAGAACAUAUGUGUAAGUAACUGUGCACAUCUUGACGGUACCUAAUCAGAAGGCCACGGCUAACUACGUG